rnacentral:rRNA from 1 species
UACGUAGGGGGCGAGCGUUGUCCGGAAUUAUUGGGCGUAAAGAGCGUGUAGGCGGUUCGGUAAGUCUGCCGUGAAAACCUGGGGCUCAACCCUGGGCGUGCGGUGGAUACUGCCGGGCUAGAGGGUGGUAGAGGCGAGUGGAAUUCCGUCGUAGCGGUGAAAUGCGCGAUAUCGGGAGGAACACCGAGUGCAGAGGCGGCGCUGGGC